UGUGCUAUUCACUCGUUACUUUUGUGCCUUUCUCCUUCUCAUCCAUCAAUGUCUGCCACCGCUUCUUUUGCCUUGUACCUCAAAGAGUGACCUCUAUUCACUCACCUAAAUGUCAAAAUCUGCACAUUUGUAAUAGCUUCAGAGAGAUUGCUGUGAACUCACUGACCUCGAAUUGAAAUCCCUUUGGUUACCUGUAGCUAUCUCCAGUGGUUAGAAUUGUUGAUUAUAGAGUGGGUGUUAGCAUUUUGAUUUGGGUUGCCGUAUGUACCAGUUGAUUGGCUUCAUUAGUUGCGGAAAUCUAAGGCUUGAGGAAAGGAGUCCAUGAGUGGACGUGGUAGUGAGAUACCAGAAUUUUCUUGAGCAAACAAUGUUUGGAGCUUUGUUUUUCUUGUGAAGUGUGUGCUGGACCUUGCUUUUCUUGUUUAAAUGAUUGCUCCCUGGUGCUAGAUGUUCCUCAUUCCAGAAUUUUGUUCUUUUUGUGUUUGCAAUGUACAUAGGAUGUAACCGAAGUGUUAACCUGGAGCAUUCUUUUGUGGUGGAAAACUUUGUAAGCAAGUUGCUCUUUUGAGCUUGUAAGAUGUAUUACUUUUCUCCCAGAUUUUAGAAAAACUUUUUGAGAAGUGUUCCUUUGGAAUUUUGUUAAAAAGUCUUGUUCAGUGAAGGAUUAGAAACAUGCUUUUAAGUUAGAGUUGAAAACUUCCAGUUUCCUUUUGUUUCUGCUAUAAUCACAGAUUUGUUCUUACUUCAAAAAAAAAAAAAAAAAAAAAAAACCUUACCCUAAUUUCA